UACGUAGGGGGCUAGCGUUGUCCGGAAUCAUUGGGCGUAAAGCGCGCGUAGGCGGCCUCGUAAGUCCGUUGUGAAAGUCAAAGGCUCAACCUUUGAAAGCCGAUGGAUACUGUGAGGCUAGAGUCCGGAAGAGGCGAGUGGAAUUCCUGGUGUAGCGGUGGAAUGCGCAGAUAUCAGGAGGAACACCAAUAGCGAAGGCAGCUCGCUGGGACGGUACUGACGCUAAGGCGCGAAAGCGUGGGGAGCGAACAGG
rnacentral:rRNA from 1 species